rnacentral:tRNA from 1 species
GAGGGUAUAGCUCAGUAUUAGAGUACAUGCUUAGCAUGCAGGAGGUCCUAGGUUCAAUCCCUGGUACCUCCA